UCAAAUGGUGGUGACCAUCAUAUACAUGAUGGCACACAUAACUGAGCUCGAAACACUAAAUGGCUUCUUCGAUCAGGGUUUCCUUUUCUCGUCAAGCAGAUAAGAUUUUCUUUGCAGAUUUAUACAGAAAUACAAUAUAUCAAGCCCUUCUGUACAAUUAGGACCUAAGCAUGUUGAACAAUCAAAGGACACAAGGAAAACUGAUAAGUUAUCAUUAAAUUCAUGCAACCAUAACUGUAGUUUCUGACAUGGACAACUGUAGUUUUUAUUCCCAGCAAGGAAAAACAAACCGUGACAUGACCAAAAUACAACCAAGUAUAUGCACACAAGCAAAAACAUUCUACCUCUCUCUCAUUGGUACACAUGGACAAUUCCAAAAACCCUGCUGCGCUUCUGCAGCUUGUCAUCAUAAUGCCUGAAAAUUUAAAAUGACAUCAACAUUGUACAAUUUGUGCUAAUAACAUUACAAAGGUUCCGUGGUAACUGGUAAGGUGCAAAUCAUGAAACGCAUCUAAACAUAUGUGUUAGGAACGGAUAUAUACUUGCAGGGGUAGAGUGGUGGCCCCAAUGUAUCGUUGUGCUCUGCCAAUCCCUAAGCAUAGGUAAACGAAUACCAUUAAUUAAAUUCCAUCCUCAUUGUAGUAAUAGAUGUUUCAAUAAUAGGAAUAUGGAAACCACUGUAAGUAGGGAUUAAAACAUCAUCACAACAGCAGUACUAAACUAUAAAUCAACUAUGCUCCACCAAAGUGAAUGUUUUACUUAUGCACAUAUAAUAGUCAAACGUCAUAUGCUUCUUGAUUGGAUUUCCAGUGAAACAUCUUAUUAAGUAGUGAAAGUAAAGGAGUUCCCUAACUUAGAAAAACAGUGACCCGAAAAAUUGUACGGGUCGCUCUAGCAAAACUACAUUUCAAGGAUAAGGAUAUUUCAAUCAGUCAUAGAGUAUUCUCCGAAUCUAGACGUCCACGGGGUCAUCCGAAUCCCCUUCGUCGAAAAAUUAUACUAUUUUUACAUAGUAAAAUUUUUUUAUAUAUAUAAAUAAUAGAGGUUGACCCUUCUUCGACUAGUCCAUAUAAGUACUACUAAACCCCCUCACUGAAAAUUCUGGAUCCGCCCCUGCCUAUAAUUGACUAAUCCUUCCGUUAAUAUUAGGUGAUGCGCAGUUUCCUUUUUUAUUUGUCCCAAAAAUGAUACCUUUCACUUUUUGGAAACUAUUUAGUCUAAGCAUCCCCAUUUUACUUUUGGGGUCGUUUGGCAGAAUAUAUAAGAAUAAUGUUAAAUAAAGCGUAUUAGUAAUAUUUGUAUUAUUAAUGUAACUAUUGGUAAUGCUGAUAUUAGUUGCACAUAUAUUAUUUUUUACACAGUGUUGUGUUUGGUUUGAUGUAUUAAAAUACUAUAUAUUUAUAUAAUUUUUAUAAAAGGAUGUUUUUACUAAAUUGUCCUUUCUUCUACCUUCUCUUGUACCAUCUAUUUUCAAGGCGUUCAAGCAACAAAGUUCGAACAACUCCCUAUGCAACAUAGUUUUCUGCAGAAUUUAUGGAAUCCAUGUGAUUAGCAUUCUCUCUGUGGCCUAUGGAUGAAUUAUUUCCCUAGUUAAGUCUGGAUUGUCCAUCAGCAGGAUGGACAUUUCCUUCGAACUUCCCUUUCGCACCAACUGAAGAUGUAUCUCUUUUGGAUUUUUGCUUCAUUUGAACCCCGUCUACAGGAGAUAAAAUGCCUACAGGCUUCCCAUUUGGUACCGAAUUCAUUGCAGAAAAUAAAGAGAAUUUCUUCUCGGAUGAGCCCUUCUUGUUAUUUUUUAUCCAAGUUCAUCAAACAACAUCCUCUUUUCCAUGGCAGAGUAUAAAAAUAGAGAGAGCAAUUUUUUAAUAUGGUGGAAAAUGAAAGGGAUAAGAAAUAUGAUAUGGUGGGAAAAGAAGGCUGAAAAAUAAUUUAAGAGGUAGUAAUGUCAUUUAAUAAAUCAAUACAUGUGUUGAAAGUCUUGCAUUAUUAAUACAUGAAAAAUAGUGUGUAUUACUUAAUAUAUACCUCAAUACACAAUAGAAUAUAUAAUUAGUGCAAGUAUUAGUUAUGCAUAGUAAAAAUAUAAUAUCAAACAAGAUACUACUAAUACACAAAAAUUAAUGCAUGCAUUAUAUUUUUAAUACACUCUAUCAAACGAUCUCUUAUUGAUAUGAAAUUUUGGAACCUCGCCGCCACUAAUUUAAAAGGAAAAGAUAGGCGGUAACUCUAACCAUCACUCAUUUAAAAGGAAAAGGAUACUUUUGAUACUUUGCUUGUAUUUGACUUCCAUGUCAUGAGUCUUCUUUAACUAUGUGACUAGUCAAAUUUCGUCACAAAAUCAAAUGGAGUUCUUGUUUUGCCCUUUUUUUCUAUUGGAAGGGUUGAAAAAAUAGUUGGUUUCGACUUUUUAAACUAUUUCAAAAUUUUCAAAAAAAAAUUCAAAAUAAUUUAAAAAAUUACAGAGUCGCCACUUAAUUUUUGAAAAAAUAUCAAGAAAAAAUAAAAAUAUUACUUAGAAGAUUCAAAAUAGAAAAAAUCUUUUAAAUUUAAAAAUUAUGAGUAAGUGGUUCCUAUUAAUACUCUUGUAAGGUUAUUAAGGCACCAAGAGUAUCCGCUAACUUAAGAUUAUUCGGACUAUUUGAAAAUAACUCUUUUGACUAACUUUAAAAAGGAAAAUUGGUUUUUGAAAAGAAAACGAUUAAGGAAAAAAUUGUCUUCAAGAUUUGUGCAAAACAAAUUUAGCGACUUAGCGGGAAGUUUUAACUAAGUCUAAAAAAACUAAGAACAAUUAGCAUAUAAAGGAAAAAAUGGGAGACUAAGAGUGUGUUUGGUACGAAGGAAAAUGUUUUCCAUGGAAAAUGUUUUCCUAGAAAAUGUUUUCUUGGAAAAUAAGUUGAUUUCUUACUUGUUUUCCUAUGUUUGGUUGGUGAAUGGAAAAUAUUUUUUGAAUUUUUUUUUAUAGUGUUUGUUUAGUGAAUGAAAAAAUAUUUUUCAAAAAAUACAUUUUAGUAUUUAGCUAAAGUGUAAAAAUACAUUUUAAAAAAAUAAUUUUUGAUCUAAAAAAAUUUUUUUUUAGGGUGUGUUCGAUAUGAAGGAGGAAAAAUAUUUUCUAGAAAAAUAAGUUAUUUGUAACUUAUAUUUGUGUGUUCGUUAUGCAAAUUGGAUAAGUAUAUUUUUUUUAAAAGUAUUUGUAUAUAUUUAACUAAAAAAAUAAGAAUGAAUAUGAUAAAAAGGGUGGGAUAAGAAAAAGUUUUGAAUUUUUUUAAGAAAUAAAUUAAAAACAUUUUAUUCUUUUUUGAAGAGGGGUUUGGUAGGUGGGGGUGGGGUUGUCAAAAUAGACAGUAAGGGCGGUUAAGAGAGUAAUUUGAUUUUUUAGAAAACAAUUUUUUUUUGGUUGGAGAGNNNNNNNNNNNNNNNNNNNNNNNNNNNNNNNNNNNNNNNNNNNNNNNNNNNNNGGGGAGGAAGUUGGUUGGGUGGUCAGGUAGGGGAGGUAAGAAAAGUUUGAAUUUAAAAAAAAAAUUGAAAAGGGGAAGGGAGUAGGAUUUUAGGUAGGGGGGAGGUGAGAAAAAAAUUUAAAAUAUUUUUUUAAAUAGGGUGGUAGGGGGCGGGGGCGGGGGUGAGGGAUUGAGGGUCGGAGUAUGGAUGAGUGAUUUUGAGAGUUGUGUGAAUAUUUCAACUUACGAGUGAGGUAGAAAGAGAGUUUUGAAAAAUGUUUUCCUUACUUUUUGAAGGAAAGUCCUUUUCCUUAGAUUUAAAGAAUAUAAGUUGAUUUGGAAAAUAUUUGCCAAAAUCUAUAAGCCAACCAAACAUGAGAAAAUUGGAAAACACUUUUCAGAAAAUGUUUUCCUUCGUACAAAUACACCCUAAAUGACUUAAGCCAUUAGGCCCAAAUCCAUAAAUCAUGUCCUCAGCUAAUUUGGGUUUUGGCCCAUAACCUAUUCUAAGCUAGUUUUCGAACCUUUGAGGCCCAAAAUUCGCUUCAAUUGUAUUAAAUUACAAUUUUAGCUUCGAGACCCAAAUUAAUGAAUAAAUAAAAAUAAAGCAAUAAUAAAAAUCAAGACUUUUCAAGUCUCUUAGUAACCUCAUCAAUGGGUUUUCACCCAUUUUCCUUCUUCUUUCAUCUUCUUGCACCCACACGCCAUAUAAUCGACUUUGAAUUUAAAACUUUGGACUUGACUUGGAGAGAUGGGCCUCAUUGGCCCAUUACGAAAUGCAAGAGGAAAGGAGUCUAUUUGAACUCCAAAAUAGACUCAUGCAAAGGAAAAGAUAAAAGAUAAAAGAAAAAGAGUUAAUAUGUGUUCGAGAAUUCUACACUUAUAGAUAAAUGAUGAGAUGGAAAAAAAUAGCAUUCUCAAGAAUAAAGAAAUAGUAAGUUGUGAUAUCAAAGCAAGCCAAAUCAUCCAACGAAUAGAAAAUCAACCUAUCUCCUAAAAAAUCUUACAAAAAAUUGAAUCUAGCAAAAUAUAAUUAACUAGCCCUUGAAAAGAAGACAUGAAUCUACAAGUAUAGUUGCUUAAAAUUUGGACGACUAGAUUAACACAUAUUUGCUCCAAAUACUAUGAUAUGAUAAAGUCUAAGACAUGUUUUUAUCAAGCAAAGAAAAGAAAAAUGAGCAAGAGAUGAGGAGAUCUUUCAUAGCACCUCAAAUAUGAAAUACAAGAAAUACUAAUGCAACAACACUUUUUAAUACAAAGUGAAUCAAUCACAUAUCUAUAACUUAGAAGAAAAAAAUCACUAUAGCAUGUGAAUAAAAAUGGGACGUCUAAAUGAAUAAAAUUGCUUUAAAAAGUAAACCAAUAAGCGAAGUGAAACAAAUAGCGUAUAUUAAGCAUACUUGAGAAAUGAUAUUUGAAGACAAGAUAGAAGAAAUAGUAAAAGAUUAAUUCUAAGAAAAAAAAGUCUAAUUAUGUCAACUCCUAUUUUAGUUCUACACCAAUUCAACAAAACCUACAGCCCUAACAAUGUCUAUCGGAAACAGCCUCUCUACCUCAUCGGAGGUAGUGGUAUGGAUUGCGUACAUCUUACCCUCCCCAGACCCCAUUAUGUGGGAAUACACUAGGUUUGUUGUUGUUGUUGUUGUUGCUACAACCCUAACAACUUUUCAAUCUAAACAAGAGAAAAUCAAAGACAAUUUUGACCAUGAAAAUGAGUAACUCACUAUUUCAAAUUGAGAAACAAUUUCACAGACCCUUAACAAAAGUAACCAUUCCUUUUCGACAUAAAGGAAACAACUUUACAUACUAAAGGCAAACACAUCCACCAAUAAUGAAUUUAAUCAAAGCAUGGGCAUGCAUCUUAAGCAAAGAUCAAAACUUUACCAAUAAUAAACAAAGAAUAAAGCCAAAAGGCGAAACAAUCAAUAUUAACUAUUCUUUUUAACAUAAAGGAAAUAACUUUACAUGCUAAAAAAAAAAACAUAUCCGCCAACAAUAAAUUUAAACAAAGCAUGAAUACAGAUUUUAAGCAAAGAUCAAAACUUUAUCUAUAAUAAUUAAAGAAUAAAGCCAAAAGGGAAACAAUCAAUAUUGACUAUUCUUUUCAAACAUAAGGGAAACAACUUUACAUGCUUAACAAAUAAAUACACCAACAAUGAAUUUAAACAAAGCAUGAGUACAUAUUUUAAACAAAGAUCAAAACUUUAUCUCUAAUAAUAAAACAAUAAAGCCAAAAAAAAUAAUAUGUUCAACUAUUGCUAGCUCAUUUUUUAUACCAUAGAUAUGAAAAUAGUCAUAAUAUCGAUACCAUAACGUCAUAUGGCCUUCAAGUCCAUCUACAACAAACAAUCUCAGCAAACAAAAUUACAACUACGAACUACGAAGAAGAAAAAAUGAACAAGACAACAAUAAUAAAACUAAAAAGGGGAAACGAUGUGUUUACCUUUUUGGGCAGCAAAAUAGAACUACAAGAUUUCUUCGGAGACUUGAUCACCACGGGAAGGCGUUCAACUCGAGAACAUUGAUUAGCUCAUGAAUUUCACGGAAAAGGACAUUUUUACUAAAAAAAAAAACUCUUCUUUGCACAAAGUUUUUUUUUCAACCUUGAGAAUUUUUUGACUUUGAGACUUCCUUUUACUAAAAUAAUGGUAGUAUUUAUAGAAAAGGAUGUGGAUCCAAUUUUAUUAAUCAUCAAUAUGGGAGAAAGAAUUUAGGGGUGUUUUUAGAAUUUUCAAAAUUGAAGAUAAGGUGAGGUGGAAGAUAAGAUGGGAAAAAUUGUACAAUGUAGUACAAUUUUUGAAUUUCAAAAUUGAAAAAACGGCAAGGUUAGGGGGAUUGUACAAUGUAGUACUAUUUUUGAAUUUUAAAAUUGGGAAAAGGACAAGGUUGAGGGAAAAUUGUAUAAUGUAGCACUGUUUUUGAAUUUUAAAAUUGAAAAAAAGACAAAGUUGAGGGAAAAUUGUACAAUGUAUUACAAUUUUUGAAUUUCAAAAUUUUAAUUUCAGGAUUUGAAUUUGAUUUUGGUGGGAAUUGAAUAGAAAUUAUGAGAGAUUUUGGGAAUUUAGGGCUAUUUAAAAUAUAACCCCAAUUAGGAUUUAAAAUUUAGCCAUAUAUAUUUAAUUUUGACUAAAUUGAAAAUCAAUUGGCCGAUUGCAUUGCAAUUAUGGCCAAUUUAAUUUUAAUUAUGGUCAAAUAUAAUAGAUUGGCUAAAUUGAAUUAAAAAAUCAAUACGAAUUAAAACUUAUUUUAAUUCUGAGCUUCUUGAUUUAAUAAAAUCAAAUAAAUAUUUCUCCAAAUAAAUUAAUUUUGAGAAUAAAUUUUAUUUGAAUCAAGACUUUAUCCGUUUGGAUUAAUACUCAAGCUUAAUCAGUAAAAGUUCAAUUUUGAUCAAAGUGUUCAUUUAAGUAAUAAAAUUUAUGUAAUUUCGUAUAUGUAAAUACGAAAACGUAUAAUCGUUAAUUAAAUGACAAAAUUAGCCCAAAUAAAUAUUUUAGAGCGCAUUUAUCUAAAUGAAAUAAAUAUUUUAAUUUAAUUAAAAAUUGAAGAAAUUUAGGAUUAAAUUUAGUCGUGGAGAGCAAAAAUUGGGUGUCAGCAACUGCCCACUCCCUUUGGGUAAGGUGGAUGCAAGUAACUCUGGGCAAAAGGAGUUUGACAUUUCUAAUUUUUGUUCGAUCACAAAUUCAUUUAUGAAAGAGAUUGGUUUUCACACGAGUUUCAUGGAGUUAUGUCCGGACCUCGGUAACUAGUUUCCAACAUAUCUCAGGUCACAUGAGAAUUCAGUCUAUUUGUAGUUCAUAAAGCUUGACUUAAAGCACGAUUUUCUAAGAAAUCACAAGCUAUCUCGAUUUAGAAUUUUAGUGAAAUUAGAAAACUGGGGAGUAAGUAGAUUUGGAGAGGGGUUGAAAUGCAGUCGAGUUUUCAACAAAGAGCCCAGUUUACAUAUCCUCGAGACUCAGGGAAUCAGACUGCUUGUAGUUCGACUCGAUCAAUAGAAAAGAUAGCCUUUUAUUUUAGACAAUCUUUGGCUCGAAAUGAGUGACAAGUUGUUCAAGCUAUGAAAAAGAGGCUUGCAACAUCUUAACCGUGAAUGUGGGAUCAUUCAUAUCAAUCGACAAAAAUUUACUCGGACAUAAUUUUCACAGCUCUAGGUGUCCUAUCACUCGAUUUAUGGAAAGAGAAGGUUAUCCUUGAUAUGAGUGUAGAAAUAUCUCAAAGGUAAAUCUAAAACCAGAAUAUCCCAAGGUACCCACAUGCCUUCUAAUAGGGUGUGGUUUAAGGGUGGUGUCAAUCAUCCUUUAGCUCGCGUCUAAAGAUUUUGACGUCCCUCUCUAGACUAAGUCCCAUUUUGCUGCGGCAAAAAAGUUUUACGUUGUGUUGUAUCCUUUUUGGAGUCGUCCACACCUGUGGCUUUGAUUUGAGAAUUUCAUCCUUUUGGAUGCUCUCGAUAACAACUCAAAAAAAAUAAUUAGUUGUAAAUAUAGCAUUACACAAAUAUAAAUUAGCACAAAUUUAUUUGAACAUGCUAUGCUGAGAUAGUUGAUGAACCAAGUUGCACAACCUGUUCUAAGAAUAUUGUGCCACUUUGAACAAAGUGAUGUCCCAACGUGUCACAUUGAAGGGCGUACAACUCAAUUUAACUAUAACAUGCCACUUUGAACGGAGUGACGGUCUAACGUAUCUCAUUGAAGGGCGGACGACCCAAUUUAAAUGCAACAUGCCACUUUGAAUGGAGUGAUGGUCCAACGUGUCUCAUAGAAAGGCGGACGACCCAAUUUAAAUGCAACAUGCCAUUUUGAACAGAGUGACGGUCCAAUGUUUCUCAUUGAAGGAUAGGCGACCCAAUUUAAAUGCAACAUGCCACUUUGAACUGAGUGACGUUCCAACAUGUCUCAUUAAAGGGUGGACGCCCAAUUUAAAUAUAAUAUGUCACUUUGAAUGGAGUGACGGUCCAAUGUGUCUCAUUGAAGGGGGGACGACCCAAUUUAAAUAUAACAUGCCACUUUGAACAGAGUGACGGUCCAACCUGUCUAUUAGUUACUUGCACUACACUUAUUAGUAUCAAAUGCAAUAUGAGGGCAAUCGUGCAUGCCUUGCUUUAGUCUGCCACACUAAGGGAGGUGAAAAUUCAUAAUGUAGUAACAUAAUAUGUUGAAGGGGAUUUCAAUACAUAUAAUAACGUGUCACUCUAAAGAAAGUGACAGUCUAAUAACAUAAUAAUAUGUCACUUUGAAGGAUGUGACGACCCAUAACACGAUAACAUGUCACUCGGGGGGGUGGGUUCAUAACAUAAUAAUAUGUCAAUUUGAAGGAGGUAGAUUUCCCUAACAUGAUAACAUGUCAUGCUGAAGGAGGUGACAGUUAGGGGUGUUCAUGGUUUGGUUAAAAACCAAAUCGAACCGCGAACCAAACCAAAUCGAUUAAAACAAAUUGAUAUUUGAUUAGGUUUGGUUUGGUUUGGUUUGGUUUGGUUUUAAAUUUUUAAAAUCGAUACUUAUGUGUUUUUGGUUUUGGUUUUCUCUAAAAUAACCGACAAAAUAACCAAACCGAACCAAUAAAAAUAAUAUAUAUAUAUAUAUAUAUAUAUGUAUACACACACAUACAUAUACAUAUAUAAAUUAUUUAAAUAUUAUUCAUAAAUGAAAUAUAAAUAUUUUUUAUAUUUUAAAUUCUAAUCAUGAAUUUAACUUUAGUCAUGUCUUCAUCUAGUUGAUGGUACGUUAUGAGAUUUUAUAUGAUUUUCGCACUUUGAAUGACAAAUGAUACUAAUUGUGAAAAUUACCUUGUUGUCUAUGGGAUUUUAUAGGUGAGUUUUAUUAGACCAUAGAUAAUCACUAGUUUUGAACUUUCUUUUUGGUCCCUAUUGAGCAAAAAAUUCAUGUGUUUACCUUUUGGGGGUUUAUCAUAUCAUUCUCUUAUAUAAAGUUUCUAAAUACUUUUGUCGAAGAGUUCACACGAUGUUGUUCAUGGUUUUGCCUAAGUAUAACACUAAAUUGACAUCUUGGUUUUAAGGUUGAGGAACAACACUCGAUUGACAUUUCAUAUGUUGUAUUGGAUUUUUUUAAGAAAAAUUUCAACUUUUAUCAUUAACUAAAGUUAUAAACCGAAAAAACAAAUCGAACUGAACUAAACCAACAAGAACCAAACCAACGGUUAUUUUUUUGUGUUGGUUUGGUUUGGUUUUAGAAAUUUAAAAAUCGACUAAGUUGGUUUGGUUAUGGUUUUGACCAAUAACCAACCCAUGAACACCCCUAGUGACAGUCCAUACAAUAACGUAUCACUCUGAAGAAGGUGACGGUCCAUAACAUAAUAAUAUAUUACUCUAAAGGAGGUGAUUGUCCAUAACAUAAUAAUAGAUCACUCUAAAGUAGGUGACUCCAUAACAUAAAUAAUAUGUCAUACUGAAGGAGGCGACGGUUCAUAACAUAGUAAUUUGUUACUCUAAGAAAGGUGAUAAUCCAUAACAUAAUAACAUGCCAUACUUAAGGAGGUGACGGUCCAUAACAUAAUAACAAGUCACUCUAAAGAAGGUGAUGAUUCAAACAUAAUAACAUAUCACACUGAAGGAGAUGACGAUCCAUAAUAUGAUAACAUGUCACUCUGAAGGAGGUGAUAAUCUAAACAUAAUAACAUGUCACGUUGAAGGAAGUGAUAAUCCAUAACAAAAUAACAUGUCACUCUGAGGAAAGUGACGAUCCAAAACAUAAUAACAUGUCACUCAGAAGGAGGUGACGAUCCAUAAUAUAGUAACAUGUUGUCUCAAAUAAAGAGAUGAGCUGAUGCACUCUCUUAAAGGAUAAAAAAUUCAAAUAUAAUAAGAUGUGUCCUUUCAAAAGGGGGAUGUACCAAAUAUAAUAAGAUGUGUCACCUAGAAUAAAGUGAUGAUUGGGUAUGUCCUCUUGAAAUGAUGGAUGACACAAAUAUAAUAAGAUACAUCACAUCAAAUGGGGUGACAAUCCGAGGCGGUCUUGCAUAAAGUCACUCAUGAUGAUUUGGAUAUAAUAUUUUGAAUGAUAUCCCCAUAUCUUAAUCGUUAUGCCCAAUCAUUUUCCUACAAAAUUAAAGGAAGUGUUAGAGAUCAUAACGAAGUAAAAGAAAUGUAAAUCAUGAGAAAAUAAGAGAAGAUAAGUUGUUUGGAUUAUUUUGAAUGGUGGAUUGGUAAUGCUCUUUGUCAUACUUAACGUUAUCAACAUUGUGACUUCACCGUUCCUGCAUCCAAAGAAAAUUUUUUAUUUUUGAGAGACUGACUGUGUUGGUUUUUACUUGUUCCCCUGGUGCUCCUUGUUGAUCAUGGAUUUGCAAGCUUGAAGUGCAGUCUCUGUGAAUUUUUUUGAGGAUCUUCGUCAAAAAUUCUGCCCCAGUUUAUAAAAUAGAAACUCUCGAAUUUCCUUGUAACUUAUGAUAGUAUGAAAUUUUUUGAGAUUUCCUCAAAAUUCUUCCCUGAUCUCAAGUUCUUUCGGAUGUAAUGUAGCUUGAAAUUUAAGAGCUUCUAAAAAAAUAUGUCCCGAUCUCAGCUUUAGCAAUGUCUGGUGUCUAACUUUGUAGAAAAUGUCAAGUUCUUGUGAAAUUUUUUAGAUAUACUCAAAAAUUUCUACCCCAGUUACAUUCUUCAUCGUCAUCUCCAUGUAACUUGUAAGAAGAUCCUCUUAAAGAAUUUUUGAGAUCCUCUCACAAAUUUGCCCCAGUUUGUAUGAAAGACCUAUGGGGAAUAUGAUUGAGUCAAUGUGCUGCUCACGUAUUCCAUUGAGGUAGGCAUCAUACCAAACGUAGUUCCACCAUAAGAUGAAAAAAUUUUUUUUUGAAGGAAUUGACCAAAGCCGAUAUAGGCCGUCUACGUAUUCCAUUCUUGGAAAUUCAGGUCAAACGUAGUUUAUAUAAAAUAAAAAGAGAGAUUUAAUAUUUUUGAUAAUGUGACCUAAGCCAGCACAGGCGGCCUACAUAUUCCACUAAGAAAAUCAGGUCGAACGUAGUUCAUUACAACUAGAAAGUACGAUUACAAGAAAAUAACAAAGUGAAAUUACAAGGAAAUCAAACCAUAAAGUACGAUUAUAAGGAAAUCAAAAACAAUAAAGUAUGAUUACUAGAAAGUAAGACAAUAACUUAAGAUAGACGAACGCCAAAAGUGGGCCUUGGAUGAAACUUCAUUCUUCUUCGUGACUAAUAACAUCAAUGAUUAUUUUGCAUUUAGUCUUUGUGAAGCAAACAAGUUUGAUUACCAAUACAAAUCAGCCUCUCUCUAAAAGAAAAGAAAAAACACUCAAAAAGUAAAAUGUUAGUUCAUAAAUUGUAAUAAUUGACCAAAGUAAUGAGACAAAUCAAACAAACAUAGUCAAAGCAAAAUAAUGAAGCACUUUAGCACAUAAAUAAUUUUUAACGCGUCCUAACAUAUUUGGGACCUUUUAAGCCAAAGGUAAGCCUAACGUUUGAAAGUUAUAUAUAUACCGUUUGUAAGACAUUCCAUUGCCCCCAAAAUAUUAUAAAAUCUUCAUUAAUAAAUUAAACGAGGGAUACAAAAUGAGAAAAAGGGAAAUACAUGAUAUCCAUCCCGCGUAGGGGAGCAAAUCUAAACUAAGCCUCCUUGGAAGCCUAUCAAUCUUUGAACUUCUUAAAACGUUUGAAUAUCCUUCCUAUAAAGACCUUCUUUUGAUUAAACAAAACUAUCUAAAUAAAAUCCUCAUACCUAGGGGAUAAUGUUUCUUACAAUUCGACAUUAUAUCCUUUAAUUUAACACAUAAAGAAUGAUCGUCUAUUAUGACUCGUGAUCAAAUAGACGUAAGGUAGGUUUUCUAAUGGUCCCAAUUCCUCCUCAGGUGAUGGGUCGUUCUAGGCUCAUGCCCUAACAAGAUUUUGGUUUAGCUCUAUCCUGGGUGUCUAGAAUGGGUUUAGACACAGGUUUUCAAGUGAACAACUUGGGUUUGAAAAUACGAACAGCCUCCAACCACCUAACGUGUCGGUAAACUGUCGUAUUCCAAACACUUGAUUUGGAGUUGAUCAACAGGGUCGAAACAUCCACAAAAUCCCAAAAUAGUUUAAUAAUCAUCAUGCGGGAUUAUGUCAUGAAAUGCAAUAGUUAAAUUUCGCAGAAUUUAAAUAUAUAAGCACAUAAACAAUUUAAUAAUUAGUCAAAGAAGCUAAUUCAAAUAUUUGGUUAGAGUCUAGUUAAAGUUUCCCAACAGAGUCACCAUUUCUGUUUUGCCCUUUUUUCUAUUCGAAGGAUUGAAAAAUAUUUGGUUUUGACUUUUUAAACUAUUUCAAAACUUUAAAGAAAAUUUGAAAUAAUUUAAGAAAUUACAAAGUCGCCACUUGAUUUUUAAGAAAAUAUCAAGAAAAACUAAAAAUAUUACUUAAAAAAUUCAAAACAGAAAAAAUCUUUUAAGUUUAGAAAUUCUGAGUAAGUGAUUCCUAUUAAUACUCUUGAAGGUUGUUAAGGUACCAAGAGUAUCCGUUAACUUACGGUUAUCCGAAUUAUUUGAAAAUAACUUUUUUGACUAACUUUAAAAGGAAAAUUAUUUUUUUUAAUAAACGAUUAAGGAAAAAAUUAUCUUCAAGAUUUGUGCAAAACAAAUUUAACGACUUAGCAGAUAUUUUUAACUAAGUCUAAGAAAACUAAGAACAAUUAGAAUAUAAAAGGGAAAGGAGAGACUAAAUGACUUAAGUCAUUAGACCCAAAUCCAUAAAUCUUGUCCUAAGCUAAUUUGGGUUUUUUGCCUAUUUUCACUUGUCCUAAUCUAAACCUUGGGCUUUAGGCCUAUAACCUGUUCUAAGCUAGUUUCUGGACCUUUGAGGCCCAAAAUUUGUUUCACCUGUAUUAAAUUACAAAUUUCGUUUCGAGGCCCAAAUGAAUGAAUAAAUAAAUGACUAAAUGAAUAAAUAAAAAUCAAGACUUUUUAAGUCUCUUAGUAACCUCGUCAAUGGAUUUUCACUCAUUUUCCUUCUUCUUUCAUCUUCUUGCACCCGCACGCCAUAUAAUCGAUUUUGGAUUUAAACCUUCGGACUUGACUCAGAGAGAUGGGCCUCAUUGGCCCAUUAUGAAAUGCAAGAGGAAAAAAGUCCAUUUGGACUCCAAAACAGAUUCAUGCAAAGGAAAAGAUAAAAGAAAAAGAAUUAAUAUGUGUUUGGGAUUUCUACACUUAAUAGAUAAAUGAUGAGAUGCAAAAAAAUAACAUUCUCAAGUAUAAAGAAAUAGAAAGCUAUGAUAUCAAAGCAAGCCAAAUUAUCCAACGAAAAAGAAGUUAACCUAUCUCCUAAAAAUCUUACAAAAAAUCGAAUCUAGCACAAUAUAAUUAACUAGCCUUUGAAAAAAAGACAUGAAUCCACAAUCAUAGUUGCUUAAAAUUUGGACAAAUAGAUUAACGUAUAUUUGCUCCAAAUAUUAUGAUGUGAUAAAGUCUAAGACAUGUUUUCAUUAAGCAAAGAAAAGGAGAAUGAGCAAGAGAUGAGAAAAUCUUUCAUAGCACCUCAAAUAUAAAAUACAAGAUAUACUAAUGUAACAGUAUUUUUUAAUACAAAAUGGAUCAAUCAACAUAUCUAUAACUUAGAAUAAAAAAAUCAAUAUAGCAUGUGAAUAACAAUGGGAUGUCUAAAUGAAUAAAAUCACUUUAAGACCAAUAAGCAUAGUGAAACAAAUAGCAUAUAUUAAGCAACUUUGAGAAAUGAUAUUCUAAGACAAAAUAGAAGAAAUAGUAAAAGAUUAAUUCUUAGAAAAAGUGUCCAAUUAUAUCAACUCUUAUUUUAGUUCUACACCAUUUCAACAAAACCUAUAACCCCAACAUCUUUUCAAUAUAAACAAGAGAAAAUCAAAGACAAUUUUGACCACAAAAACGAGUAAAUCACUACUUCAAAUUGAGAAACAAUUUUACAUACUCUUAACAAUAGUAACCAUUCAUUUUCGAUAUAAAGGAAACAACUUUACAUACUAAAAGCAAACAGAUCCACCAAUAAUGAAUUUAAACAAAGAAUGAGCAUGCAUUUUAAGUAAAGAUCAAAAUUUUACCCAUAAUAAUCAAAGAAUAAAGCCAAAAGGCGAAACAAUCAAUAUUUACUGUUCUUUUCAACGUAAGGUAAACAACUUUACAUACUAAAAACAAAUAUAUCCACCAACAAUGAAUUUAAACAAAUCAUGAGUACAUAUUUUAAGCAAAGAUCAAAACUUUAUCCAUAAUAAUUAAAGAUUAAAGUCAAAAGGUGAAACAAUCAAUAUUGACUAUUCUUUUCAAACAUAAAGGAAAUAACUUCAUAUGAUAAAAACAAACAUAUACGCCAACAAUGAAUUUAAACAAAGCAUGAGUAUAUAUUUUAAACAAAGAUCAAAACUUUAUCUAUAAUAAUAAAAAAAUAAAGUCCAAAAAAAUACGUUCAACUAUUGCCAGCUCAUUUUUAUACCAUGAAUAUGAAAAUAGCCAUAAUAUCGAUACCAUAACGUUUUAUGGCCUUCAAGGCCAUCUACAAUAAACAAUUCCAACAAAUAAAAUUGCAGCUACGAACUAUGAAGAAGAAAAAGAUGAAGAAGGCAACGACAAUAAAGCUAAAAAAGGGGAAAGGUGUGUUUACCUUUUUUGGAGAAGAAAAAUGGAACUACAAGAUUUUUUCGGAGUUUUGAUCACCACCUGAAGGCGUUGAACUCGAGAACUUCGAUUAAUUCAUGAAUUUCAUGAAAAAGGAUAAUUUUUACUAAAAUAAAAAAAAAAACUCUUCUUUGCUCAAAGUUUUUUUUUUUCAACCUUGAGACUUUUUUGACUUUGAGACUUCUUUCUACCAAAAUAAUGGUAGUAUUUAUAGGAAAGUAUGGGGAUCCAAUUCUAUUAAUCACCAAUAUGCGAGAAAAAUUUAGGGGUGUUUUUUGAAUUUUUAAAAUUGAAAAUAAGAUGAGGUGGAAGAUAAGGUGAGAGAAAUUGUACAAUGUAGUACAAUUUUUGAAUUUCAAAAUUAAAAAAAGGACAAGGUUGAGGAAAAAUUGUACAAUGUAGUAUAAUUUUUGAAUUUUAAAAGUUGAAUUUCGGGAUUUGAAUUUGAUUUUGGUGGGAAUUGGAUAGAAAUUAUGAGAGGUUUUGUGAAUUUAGGGCUAUCUAAAAUAUAACCCGAAUUAGGAUUUAAAAUUUAACCAAAUAUAUUUAAUUCUAACCAAAUUGAAAAUCAAUUGGCCGAUUGCAUUGCAAUUAUGGCCAAUUUAAUUUCAAUUAUGUCCAAAUAUAAUAGAUUGGCUAAAUUGAAUUAAAAAAGCAAUACAAAAUAAUACUUCUUUUAAUUCUGAGCUUCUUGAUUUAAUAAAAUCAAAUAAAUAUUUCUCCAAAUAAAUUAAUUUUGAGAAUAAAUUUUAUUUAGAUCAAGACUUUAUCUGUUUAGAUUAAUAUUCAAGCUUAAUGAGUAAAAGUUCAAUUUUGAUAAAAGUGUUCAUUUAAGUAAUAAAAUUUAUGUAAUUUCGCAUAUGUAAAUACGAAAACGUAUAAUCUUCAAUUAAAUGAUAAAAUUAACCCAAAUAAAUAUUUUAGAGCGCAUUUAUCUGGAUGAAAGAAAUAUUUUAAUUUUAUUAAAAAUUGAAGAAAUCCAGGGUUAAAUUUAGUCGUGGAAGGCAAAACAUAGGUGUCAACAACUGUCCCUCCCUUUUGGUAGGGUGGACGUAAGUAACCCUGGGUAAAGGGAGUUUGAUAUUCCUAAUUUUUGUCCGACCACAAAUUCAUUUCUGAAAGAGAUUGAUUUUCGCACCAAUUUCAUGGAGUUAUGGCUGGACCUUGAUAUCAGGUUUUCCACAUAUCUCAGGUUACAUGAGAAUUCAGGCCACUUGUAGUUUAUAAAGCUUGACUUAAAGCACAAUUUUUCAAGAAAUUACAAGCUAUCUCGAUUUUGAAUUUUAGUGAAAUCAUUUCUGGGGAGUAAGCGGAUUGGGGGGAGGUUGAAAUGCAGUCGAGUUUCAAUAAAGAGCCCAACCUACAUAUCCUUUAGACUCAGGAAAUCAGACUGCUUGUAGUUCGACUCGAUCGGUAGAAAAAAUAGUCUUUUAUUUUAGAAUAAAGCCAAAAAAAUAUGUUCAACUAUUGCUAGCUCAUUUUUUAUACCAUGAAUAUGAAAAUAGUCAUAAUAUUGAUACCAUAACGUCCUAUGGGCUUCAAGGUUGUCUAAAACAAACAAUCCCAGCAAAUAAAAUUACAACUACGAACUACGAAGAAGAAGAAAAAUGAAGAAGACAACGAUAAUAAAACUAAAAAGAGGAAAAAUUGUGUUUACCUUUUUUGGGGCAGCAAAACAGAACUACGAGCAUUUCUUCGAAGUCUUGAUCACCACUGGAAGGUGUUCAACUCGAGAACUUCAAUUAGCCCACGAAUUUCACGAAAAAGGAAAAUUUUACUAGAAUAAAAAAACUCUUCUUUGCUCAAAGCUUUUUUUUUUUUUUUCAACUUUAGACUUUUGACUUUGAGACUUCUUUCAACCAAAAUAAUGGUAGUAUUUAUAGGAAAGGAUGGUGAACCAAUUCUAUUAAUCACCAAUGUAGGAGAAAGAAUUUAGGGGUAUUUUAUGAAUUUUUAAAAUUAAAUAUAAGGUGAUAUGGAAGAUAAAGCGGGGGAAAAUUGUACAAUGUAGUAUAAUUUUUGAAUUUCAAAAUUGAAAAAAGGACAAGGUUGAGGGGAAAUUGUAUAAUUUAGUACUAUUUUUGACUAACAAAAUUGGAAAAACGAAUAGGUUGAGGGGGAAUUGUACAAUGUAGUACUAUUUUUGAAUUUCAAAAUUGAAAAAAUGAUAAGAUUGAGGGGGAAUUGUACAAUGUAGUACAAUUUUUGAAUUUCAAAAUUUAAAUUUUGGGAUUUGAAUUUGAUUUUGGUGGGAAUUGGGUAGAAAUUAUGAGAGUUUUUGGGAAUUUAGGGUAAUUAAAAUAUAACCCCAAUUGAGAUUUAAAAUAUUGCCAAAUAUAUUUAAUUUUGGCCAAAUUGAAAAUCAAUUGGCUGAUUUCAUCAAUUGAGGAAAAAAAUUAUUUGAAUCAAGACUUUAUCCGUUUUGAUUAAUAUUCAAACUUAAUUAGUAAAAGUUCAAUUUUGAUAAAAGUGUUGAUUUAAGUAACAAAUUUUAUAUAAUUUUGCAUAUGUAAAUACGAAAACGUAUAAUCGUCAAUUAAAUAAAAAAAUUAAUCCAAAUAAAUAUUUUAGAGCGCAUUUAUCUGGAUGAAAUAAAUAUUUCAAUUUUAUUCAAAAUUAAAGAAAUCAAGAUUAAAUUUAGUCGUAAAUGGCAAAAAUUAGAUGUCACCAACAGUACUAAUAUAGGAUACUUACCAUAGUUGCAUAUAAGAUUCAUUUCUUUCCACUGAGAAGUAUGUUACUAUGAAAAUGAUUUGGACAUUAUCGGUUGUUAUUGCUAUAGUUUUUGGUAUCAUAUUAUUAUCGUUGUAGUUAUUUGUUGGUGACUUAGCUAUAUUAUUAAUAAGUAAAGGAGGGAUGUAACCCAACACAACAAAGAACACCAAGAGGAUCCUCAACUACCUAACACAGUCUAGAAGAGCACCCCUCCAUGCACAUUAUCAAAAGACUUUUCCUUGUGCGUGCCCGUUGAUAUUGGGGAUUCUAGUGUUCAUAGCUUUCCUUCAGCACAAAAGCUUUUCCAUGGUUUGUUAUCACAAUACAACUUUUUAGUUCUUCUUCACAAAGAAAGAAUUGUAUUCCAUCCUGUUCCAUCUCAAAAGGAGGACAGUAUGUUGGACUGAUUGGCUUGUAUUGUGCAGUAUAUUAACUUCAUCACUAUCACAUUCUCUAAAACAACUAGGUACUCUCUCCGUUCCAAAAUAAUUGAAUUGUUGGAAUAUGACACACAUGUUAAAAAAAAAAGACAAAGACAUAAAUGUUAUUUUGGGUACACAAUCUGUAUGUUUACACAAGCACUUCAACAUUUGUUCAAGACAGUUUCAAGAACACUUAUGAAGUUUUUAACACCUUCAAUACAAGUUCAUCAAGAACUAUCAAAGAAAUAUGUUAUUUAAAGAAACAAGAUGAAGUAGAAAACUGAAUUAAGUCCUCCGAUUUCACGGAGUGUCCUUAAGUAAUUAAUUUUCCUCAAGUACCCGAGAUGCGAAAUUUUUCCUCCCAUGAUAAAAUGUCUCACAAUCAGAAUGUAGAGGUACCUCAAACCUUCUAAUUCUUCGAACACACUCAACGGUAGAUGAUCACACAAAGUUAUUUUUUUUAGAAGUAGAAGAGAGUUUUUCAAUACAGAAAUUUUCGUUCUAACUGAGGAAAAAAUUCAGGUAUUUAUAGCCAUCAAAUGCUCCUUCGAAAAGGAAGCAACGGUUCAUCGAAGGGUGUAUCACUUCGGAAUAGUGAUGUCUGUCCAUUCCGAAAUAGUAUGUCUUUUUUAAACAGUCACGUCCGACUGAACAGUCACCCCUUUUCUGAAACAGUGUGUCUUUUUCUUGAAGGGUUGUGUUCCUUUCAAGGUGCAUUUCGGCAUGCUUCUGCAUGGCAUUUUUAUGGAGAGGAAAAAAAUAUUUUUGUUUUUCCUUGGAUUUUCUGGAUCACUUGUUAAUCCAAGUUUCAAAUAAACAUUGUCUAAAAAGUUAAUCUCAUCGACCGAUCAUUUUUCAAAUCCAAAUUUGAAGCCGACACUACUAAAAAAAAGAAAAAAACCAACCACAUGUGAUCGAUUUUCCUCAAUUUUCGACCACAAAACCGAUCAAAAUGUGUGGUCGGUAAAGUAGUGGUAGUUUCUUAAAAACCGACCACAAGUGGUCAGUUUUUUAAAAUAUAUAUAUAUAUAUUUUUAAAAUUCAUUAUUAUUUUAUUAAAAUUUAAAAAAACAAUUUUAGGAAAAAAAUGACCAUAAGUGGUCGGUUUUUUAUUAAAUUAAUUAAUUAAUUUUAAUAUUAAACCGACCACACCGACCACAAGUGGUCGGUUUUUCUGGAAAAUUUAAAAAAAAUAAAAAUCAAAACUCAAAUACAGCAUGCAACAACAACAAUCCAAUACAAUAGUAACCAAAUCAAAUAUAACAGCAACAACAACCAAAAACCAAAUGUAAUACUUUCAAAAGUAUACAACACAUACAAAAUGUCCAACAAAAGUUAGUAUGAAAAAACUAGAACAAUAGUUUCAAACAACAAAAUGUCUAAAUUCAGAGUAGAACACAUACAAAAAUAAGAAAACUAAAAGUCAUCAUCAUCGAAUUCGUCCUUGUCUUCCAUAUCAUCAUCCAUGCUGAAAUCAUCCAGGGGCCUAGACCUUUUGCAGCCCGAACUGCAUCACCAGGACACAGAGGAAUAACCCCCGCAGUCAGAAUGAAAGAGCUAAACUUUUGCUGCAGCAUCUUGAUUUGUGAUGUUGUUGCUUCUCCGUUUUCUUCUACCUCUUUCUCUAUUCAGCAAACCUCUCUCUCUGUUCAGCAAGCUCUUUAGUGAGUUGAGAAACCGUAUUUUGUAGUCUUUCAAUGGUUUCUCUAUCAACUGAAGAGCUAGAGUAUGCAGCGCCAGACGAACACCUAAUAUUAUCGCCACAAAAUUUUGUGUGGUAUCCGUAGAAAUGGCCUCUAUUUGCAGGAGUCGCAACUUUUGUCCAUAACUCCUCCUGUACAUGCUGUGGUAUUGGGUCACCCUAACUUUCAGGAGGCUGACUACUAUGAUACUCACCAACAAGACGCAUAUAUUCGUCCUAUAUUCAAAGUAAAGUUAAUACUAAAAGUAAAAAAAUAUUAAAGUAGUUAUAAUUGAAUAAUAUCAACUUUGAGAAGAAGAUUCAUAAAUUCAAAAUUUGUUUCUUACGUGGAUAACUUUUGCACGAGCUUCAACCCAGACAUCUUUAUCAGUCGGGUUCUUUUUCUUUUUCAGAUGAGUCUGCUCGAAUAGCUCAUCAGUUGUUAUUUCCCUACCCUCUUCUUUUUUCUGCAUAUGAAAAAUUAUCAAUGUUCAAAUAAUAAAAAAAUUUAAUAGAAAAAAAUAAUUAAAACUGUAAAAGUUACAUACCAGUUUUUCCUUCAUAGCAAGAGUACUUCUGGCACCCGCAGUAAGUAGGGAUCCACCCUUGGAUGAUGCCCGGUCUUUCUUUUCUUUUUCACUCAACAAUUGAUAUUUUGCGCUACUCCAAUGGCGAAGGUACAGUUGCCAUGCGGCUUCAAGAAUCCACUUAGGUUUUACCAAUUUCUUUCGGGCAUAAUUCAAGAGAUCGUUAAAUCUGGCUCUACAUCUUAUGAAAAAAAAAAUUAUAAGAAAUGUAUUUGCAUCAUCCCACCAUUAAAAUUUCUACAACGAAAAUAUAAUAUUUAAUCUUUUGUUCUAACAAAGUGCUAAUAAGUAGUCGAUAAGUUAAAUCUUUACCUUAAAUUCUUCAAACAUUCUAUCCCUGUCAAGUUUUGGAACCUUUUGCCAGCUUGUCCAGUAGCCGUUGAAAUGCCGAGUAAUGCAUAUUCGCGUCUUUUGUCCAAGUCCAGCAUCCGGCCUAAACCUAUAACACAAGAUCAAACAGUAAUUUCAUAGAGCAUAAUAAUAUAGUAAUGAAAAAAUGAGUAACGUUAUUAUAUUUAGAAAUCUUACCCUCUCGCAACUGGAUCAAGAUAAAUCCUCCUAGAAUCAUCUUUGUCUCCUGGCUUCCUAGUAAGUGAUGGUGGAUGCAUAGACGUGGGCGUAUAUGAAGCACCAGAUGGAGUGCCUCCAAGCUGAAAUCUGAAAACCCAAUAGAUCUGGUUGAAUCACUGUGCGAAGUUGCGUGACUGCUGCAAGAGGGUAUCGAUGAUGGUAGAUGUCUGGAGGGGCUAGCGAUCGUCCGAUAGUACUGCGCUGGCGGUGGCAUGGUCAUACGAGCAGAAUGAGUCGGUGUAAACCCAUGUAGUGGCCCCACAUGCGUAGGAGUAGGUAUCGAAUUCUCGGAUGACCUAGAAUAUGAGGGUCAUGCUAUCACAUCAGCAAACCGACCCUCAAAUAUAUGAGUACCUGUUGGUUGUUGCGGAGGUUGUCUUUUCUUUUUUAGUUUCGUAGUAUCAACUUUUUCUUUACCUUUGUUACCUCUGCUUGACAUCUAAAUUAUAUUAAGUUAACAAGUAGUUAGUUCCUACAAAAUGAAUGUACAAGAAACAUUCCAAGUAAAUAAUUUCAAGUUACUAAUUCAUAUUUCAAAUCGCUCCAACAACACGACAUAUAGACAAAAAAAAAUUUAUUACUAUACAAAUCAUGGAAAAGUGGAAACAAUAAACUUAAACAGUAUAUUACAUAUCAAUCUUAAACAAGAAACAUAAAGGUAAAUAUAUAGUACAAAGCAUAUAGACAUCAAUACAUAAUAAAUACAACCUAUACAACUAAUCCUCAUCUUCUGAAGACUCUUCACUAAACCAUUCACCCUCUUCGGAGGUUUCCUCAUCUCCUACCCGCUCAUCCUCUUCUUCCGCAAUAUUAACUUCUUCAAAUAUAUUUUUUGGGUGAUUCAAGUGUUCCACUAAUUCAACGUCCACUAGCUGGUGAUCAAUCAGCAUUUCAUUUUGAUACGUAGUCUCCAGCACAUUCUCAACUUUCACCCGGCCUAUAGGCUUUGUUUUAAUUACAGCCCACCAAUCAGACUUGUCAUUGCACAACGGAUAAGGAGCAUAAUACACUUGUUUAGCAUUUUGCGCUAGAACAAAUGGAUCGUAAAUAGGAUACGAACUAUUGUGCUUCACUUCAAUGAUGUUAUGCUCCCUAUGUACUCUUGUGCCUCUUGUCUUGGAUCAAACCACUUACAUCGAAAGAGGAUAAUUUUUUUAUUGGGAAAUCGGCAUACUCCAGUUCUAAGAUCUCGUGUAUGAUACCAAAGUAAUCAACAUCAUGAUCACCCUUAACCCAAACACCACUAUUAUUUGUUUUCCUUAUUUUGGAGAGUUGUUCAGUGGAAAAUUUAAAUUCAUUUACUUUGUAUUGGGACAUUGCAUUAGCUUCAACUGGACCCAAAGAAAUAUCUGUCAAGAGUUGAUCGUAUGCGGCUGCAUUUGGUGAAUGGUGUACCUAAAAAUAUUAUACAUAUAUAUGUAUUAGUUGAGGAAUGUGUAAAAGCUUAAAAUUUGUAAAAAUAUUAAUACACUUACGAACCUCAUUUUUAAACCAUGUUGCAAAGGAUGCAUAUACUUGAUUUUUGUGGAAUUGAGUCUUAAAUGAACUGGGCAUCCCACAUGGGAAACACAAUUAGUUUCUUUAAGGGAAUGAGUAAACAAAUAAGAUAUGUUAAAAUUUUAAUCUCCUUACUUCAGAAAGGGCUCAAUUUUCGGGCAAUUCAGCAUAACAUACAAAGUUGCUGAUUUGCUCUCCAUGGGAGUGAGCCGACGAGGUAUGGUCUUUUUAGUAUUACAACCAGAUUGAUUGAAACUUGAUAUCGAUUGCAAAUGAAGCUUAUUAACAUCGUCCUGAUGACGAUUAGGUUGGUUUCUUGAACAAGCAACUUCAUCACGAAAGUAGUAUGAAUAAAAUUGAGAAGUUUCUCUCGCAAGAUAUUCCUCAACUAUAGAGCCUUCAACCCUAUAUUUGUUUUUGGGACCCCUUUUCAAUUUUCCAAUUGCCCUGUACAAUCUUAACGUUAGAUAUUUACUAUAUUUAAAAAAGAUAUGUAUGAAUUUAAAAUAUGUUGCAGAUGCUUACCGCUCGAAUGGAUACAUCCACCUAGUUUGAACUGGACCGCCUAGCUGAGCUUCAUGCACAAGGUGAAUGGGAAGAUGUUCCAUCACAUCGAAGAACGCUGGCGGAAAAAUCUUCUCCAGCUUGUUGGUGAUAACAAUAAUAUUACUUUCUAUUUGCACCAGAUUUUCUUCUUUUAAUGUGGUGGCACAUAAUUCUUUGAAGAACAAACUGAUCUCUGCUAUUGGUUUCCAUAUAUUUUCAGGUAAACCAAUAAAAGCAAUUGGAAGUAAUUGUUCCAUGAAAAUAUGACAAUCAUGGCUUUUCAUUUCAGACAAGAUUCCUUGUUCAUAUCAACCCUCUUUUCCAAAUUUGAGGCAUAGCCAUCGGGAAUCUUCAAACUUUAAACCCACUCAUAUAUUUCACGUUUUUGGUCUAACUUGAAUGUAAAACUAUCCUUGGGCUUAAGAACAUUUCCGUUGGGCCCCUACUGUAAGUGUAGUUCUCUGCGAUUGCAAUAUUCUGGUAAGUCAAGUCUGGCCUUAGGAUUAUCCUUUGUUUUAUCGGUGACAUUCAUAACUGUGUUGAACAAGUGUCAAAAUAGUUCUUCUCAGUAUGCAUGACAUCAACAUUAUUUGGCAGUAAAUUAUCUGGUCAAUAUUCUAACUCCCAAAAUAUACUUUUCUUAGUGCAGUUAUGCGAAAUGUCAUAUCCAUCAAGACUGUACAAUCGUUCCUCGCUGGCUUUAGGCAAAUCCUGAACUAUUUUCCAGACGUCAUGACCAGACAACCUUGGAGGUGGACCAUCAUGUUCCCUUUUAUUCCUUCUGAACGCAUUCUUGAGUCUCCUAAAUUCAUGAUCAGGUGGCAAGAAACAAUGAUGACAAUCAAACCAUGAAUUUUUCCUACCAUGUCUCAAUGUGAAAGAUUUUGCUUUUUCCAUGCAUUAUGGACAAGCCAUCUUUCCAGCUGUCAUCCGCCCAAACAAUAUUCCAUAAGCAGGAAAAUCAUUAACAGUCCACAUUAGAUAUGCACGCAGAUUGAAAUUCUAUUUAAGAGAGAUGUCCUAAGUUUCAACCUCCUCAUGCCAUAAAAAUUGAAAUUCAUCAAUCAAAGGUUGCAAGUAGACAUCUAUUUCGCUUUUUGAAUUACGCGGUCUAGGAAUAACAUAAUUCAGAAAUAUAUAGAGACUAGUCAUCAACAGUUCAGGAGAAAAAUUAUAAGGAGUGAUAAAUACAGGCCAACAUGAAUAUGGCGCACCACCAACUGAAAAAGGAGAGAACCCAUCCGCACAUAAUCACAAUUGAAUGUUUCGUGACUCAGCUGUAAAAUCUCAAUAAGUCGCAUCAAAAUGCUUCUAAGCCUCUCCAUCAGAUAGAUGACACAUAACACCAGUGGUCCUUCUAUUUUCACUGUGCCAUCUCAUAUGAGGAGCUGAGCUAUUUGAAGCAUACAACCUCUUCAACCUUGGUAUAAGAGGUAAAUAAUGCAUCGCCUUAAUAACAAUUUUAUUUCCAGUAGAACCAUACUUAUACUGAGAGUGCAGACAAAACUUACAUAACUCUAGCUUAGCAUCUUCCUUAAAGUAUAGCAUGCAACCAUUUUCACAACAAUCAAUUCUAACCGAUGAGAGACCUAACUUUGACACCAAUCUUUUUACCUAAUAGAAAGAAUUAGGAACCUCCAAGCUGGGGUCAACUAACGCUUUAAUAAAGUCUAUCAUUGAGUCCAUUCCUCCUUCAGCAAUAUUCCAGUCUGAUUUAAUACUUAAUAAUCUAACAGCAACAGACAAACGAGAGUGCAAACACCCGUCAAACAAAGGAUAACUAGCAGCAUGCAAUUCUUUGUAGAAAUUGCCCGCUUCGCUAUUAGGAACAUCUUUAACAUUUUCCCUAAAGUCAACCCCGUGUUGCAUCCCAAAAGCAUCGUGCACCAUUUCUAUCAUCCUAAUAUCUUGAUAUUCAUUAUGCCCUGCAGACCUACUACUUGCUCUAACAACAAAGUUAUUUUGUGCAAUAUCCCCAUGAAUACCACGCAAUCUUAAAAAGUCAUCGUGAAACCCCUUUCUAUAAAGAUGUUCCUUUAUAUCUUCUUCACUUACAAGAUUUAUACCAUCACAUCUAACACAAGGACAACUAAUAACCCGAUAACGUGUCUACAUAUCAAGUGUCUUAGCAUGUUCAAUAAAUCUUUUGACACCUUCAACAAAUUCCUCUCUAAUACCCAUUCUAUUAUCAUUGUUCCGUUGAUAUAUCCAACUAUAAUCAGGUUCCAUCUACGUAAUCAAUCAAAUUCAACGAAUUAGAUCAAGUCACGAAAUUUAACCAUUUUCAAGCAACUAAGUCACCUACCAAACUACAUUCAAAACAAAAAAAUCUCCUUUAAAGUCCCUACACUUAACCAUUUUCAACCAACUAAGUAUCAAAAUAAAACCACAUUCAAAACAAAAAAAAAAUCCUCUUUAAAGUCCCUAUACUUAACCAUUUAUAACCAACUAAGCAUCAAAACAAAACCACAUUCAAAAUUAAAAAAAAAUCCUCUUUAAAGUCCCUAGACUUAACCAUUUUCAACCAACUAAGUCACUUACCAAACCACAUUCAAAACAAAAAAUCCCCUUUAAAGUCCGUAAACUUGACCAUUUUCAACCAACUAAGUCACUUACCAAACCACAUUCAAAACAAAAAAUCCCCUUUAAAGUCCGUAAACUUGACCAUUUUCAACCAACUAAGUCACUUACCAAACCACAUUCAAAACAAAAAAUCCCCUUUAAAGUCCGUAAACUUGACCAUUUUCAACCAACUAAGUCACUUACCAAACCACAUUCAAAACAAAAAAUCCCCUUUAAAGUCCGUAAACUUGACCAUUUUCAACCAACUAAGUCACUUACCAAACCACAUUCAAAACAAAAAAUCCCCUUUAAAGUCCGUAAACUUGACCAUUUUCAACCAACUAAGUCACUUACCAAACCACAUUCAAAACAAAAAAUCCCCUUUAAAGUCCGUAAACUUGACCAUUUUCAACCAACUAAGUAUCAAAACAAAAUCACAUUCAAAACACAAAAUCCCCUUCAAAGUCCCUAGACUUAACCACUUUCAACCAACUAAGUCACCUACCAACCACAUUCAAAACAAAAAAUUCUCCUUUAAAGUCUCUAGACUUAACCAUUUUCAACCAACUUAGUCACCUACCAAACCACAUUCAAAACAAAAAAUUCUCCUUUAAAGUCUCUAGACUUAACCAUUUUCAACCAACUUAGUCACCUACCAAACCACAUUCAAAACAAAAAAUUCUCCUUUAAAGUCUCUAGACUUAACCAUUUUCAACCAACUUAGUCACCUACCAAACCACAUUCAAAACAAAAAAUUCUCCUUUAAAGUCUCUAGACUUAACCAUUUUCAACCAACUUAGUCACCUACCAAACCACAUUCAAAACAAAAAAAAUCUCCUUUAAAGUUCCUAAACUUAACUUUUUCCAAGCAACUAAUUCACUUACCAAACUACAUUCAAAACAAAAAAAUCCUCUUUAAAGUCUCUACACUUAACCAUUUUCAACCAACUAAGUAUCAAAACAAAACCACAUUCAAAACACAAAAUCUCCUCCAAAUUUCUUAGACUUAACCAUUUUUAACCAACUAAGUCACCUACCAGACCACAUUCAAAAUAAAAAAAAUCUCUUUCAAAGUCCCUAAACUUAACCAUUUUCAACCAACUAAGUCACCUACCAGACCACAUUCAAAAUAAAAAAAUUCCCUUUAAAGUCCCUACACUUAACCAUUUUCAACCUACUAAGUCACCUACCAAACCACAUUCAAAAUAAAAAAAUUCCCUUUAAAGUCCCUACACUUAACCAUUUUCAACCUACUAAGUCACCUACCAAACCACAUUCAAAAUAAAAAAAUUCCCUUUAAAGUCCCUACACUUAACCAUUUUCAACCUACUAAGUCACCUACCAAACCACAUUCAAAACAAAAAAAUCCUCUUUAAAGUCCCUACACUUAACCAUUUUCAACCAAGUAUUAAAACAAAGCCACAUUCAAAACACAAAAUCUCCUUCAAAGUUUCUAGACUUAACCAUUUUCAACCUACUAAGUCACCUACCAAACCACAUUCAAAACAAAAAAAUUCCCUUUAAAAUCCCUAAAUUUAACCAUUUUCAACCAACUAAGUAUCAAAACAAAACCACAUUCAAAUCAAAACGUCAACAAGACCAACAAGAUGUCAAGAACAAUGCUAGUGAAUCGCACAAGGCCACACACGACUUCAAUAUGAACAAUGAAAGGAAGAUAUAACAACAAUAGUGAAUCGUACAAGGCCCCACACGGCUUCACUAUGUCAACAUACCUUUGAUAUUUUUCUUAAUUUCUUGAUAUUUCGAAAUGGCAGCUUCAAUCUGCUUAUAGAUUCUCUCACGGGAAGUUGCAAUAUCGAAAAUGAUGAGCUUAGUAAAUUAAAAGAUAGACUAGUGCAAUUUUCUCCAAAAUAUCCAUCUACUCUAUGCAAGAUAUUACUCAUUUCAGUCCACAUAACACACACAAUCCAUACUCCAUUCAAGUUUUUCCCCAAUUUCCCCAUUUUCAACCAAAACAUAAGAACUAGGGUUUCAAAAUUCAAAAUAAAGUGAAGUUAACUCAAAAUAAGGUCAACAAAUUACAAAAUCUUACUUAUUUGAGUUGGAAAAAUCAAGAUUUUCUAUGAGAACCCACUUCUUCGACUGAUUUCAAGUGUCAGCAUGUGUUUGUGUGUAUAUGCGGGUUGAGUGUUUGUGUGUGUAUGUUGUUUCCCGUUUGUUUUUGUGUAUAUCAAUUGGGAAAGUUAAUUAUUUAGGUGGGUCGGAUCGGGUUAUAAAUUAUUUUUAUUUAUUAUUUAUUUAACAGUAAAACCGACCACACUUGGUCGAUUUUCUAAAAAUAUUUUUGAAAACCGACCACAUGUGGUUGGUUUUUGGAAAAUAUUUUUGAAAACUGACCACUUGUGGUCGGUUUUUACAAAAUUUUUGAUAAAUUAAAUUUUAAUAAACUACAAUUAAUAAAUUAAAAUAAAUUAAUAAAUUAAAAUUAAUUUUUAAUAUAUAAAUCAGAUAAUUAGUUAUUUUAUCAUCACAUUAACAUGAGUAGUAUAUUUCCUCCAUCCUAUAAUAAUAUCAAUGAAUUUGGCAAAUUACAAUAAAUCUUUGGUUCAUUAGCUUUAAUUAUGAUAUUAUAUAUAUAUGUAUAUAUAUGUGUAUAUAUAUAUAUAUAUACGUAUUAAUCAGAUAAAUUAUCGAUGUAUUACGUUAUUACAACUUCAACAAUAUACACGCAUCUAUAUUGACAUAAAAUAGUAUAUCUAUUUCUUCAAUAGUAUGAUAUUAUUGUAUUAUUCAAAAUAUUUUGAUAUAUAGAUUCAGUUAUCGAUCUUUCGUUUACUGCAUAUGUCACUACAUGAGAUAUAUGUAUAUAUACAUAUAUUCAAUUGUCUAUCACCGUUUAAAUACCUAAUAUAAAUAUCACAUACAUGAUUUUUCCACCCCAUAAUAAUAUUCAAAGUAUUUCACAUAUACGCAUAUACAAAAAAUUUAUGCGAAAAAACUCAAAUUCACCGUCAAAAUUUGGCGGUCGUUCAAAAUUCAAAAUUCAAAGCAAAUGGUAAGUAUAUAACAGUUUCAUGAUUUAAUUUUUCCUUCCCCUACUUCCUUACCCCCCCCCCCCCCCCAGUAAAAUAUUCGAGCCUUAAUUAUUGAUUAUUUAUGUUAUGUUAGUUUGCGUGUGUCUACAUUAUAUUGACACAAAAUAGUAUAUCUAUUUCAUCACUACACGAGAUAUACGUAUAUAUAAAUAUAUUCAAUUGGCUAUCAACAUUCAAAGACAUACUACAUACAUCACAUACCCGAUUUUACUACCCCAUAAUAAUAUACGACGUAUUUCACAGAAACUCAGUUGAAUUAUAGGUUGGUUUAUCUUAUGUCAUUAAUAUAACUUCACUAUAUAAUAUGUAUAUACUAAAUAUUUAUAUACCUAUACAUACACACACAUAUAUAUACACAUUAUCGACUAUAUCAAUACGUACUAUAUACAUCACAUACGUACACAAGUAUCUUAUCCAAUAAUAUAAUGCGACGUAUUUCACAUACGUACUAUAUACAUCACAUAUCCGAUUUUACUACCGCAUUGUAUUUCACAUAUACUCAAAUAAAUUAUCGGUUGAUUUAUCUUAUGUCAUUAAUAUACCAUCGCUAUAUAAUAUGUAUAUAUAUUAUAUAUAUACAUAUACAUGCACACACAUAUGCACACUAUCGACUAUAUCAAGUUCAAAAUAGGUACUAUAUACAUACAUACAUAUACAAGUAUAUUUUCCAAUAAUAUAAUGCGAUGUGUUUCUUAUACAUACAUAGAUUAGUGAUCGAUUAAUUAUAUUUGAUUAGCUUAAUAUAUUAGUUUUUGAUUAUAUAUAUAAUUAGGUUUACUUAAAAUUAUUUAAUUUUUAAUUUUUUUUGUUUCAUAAACCUUUUUUUAAAAUUAUUUUUUUUAUUUUAACUAGAAAACCGACCACUUGUGGUUGUUUUUUUAAAAAAUAAAUUUAAAAAAAAUAAAAAACAACCACAAGUGGUCGGUUUUUAUAAAUAUUUUUUAAUUAUAUUUUAAAAAAAAACGACCACUGGUGGUCGGUUUUGUUUUUUUUUUUAAUUUUUAUUUGUUAAAUAAAUAAUAAUUAUUUUAAUUUUUUAAAAUAAAAAAGUUACCACUUGUGGUCGCUUUUUUUUUAAAAAAAAAAAAAAAGAACCGACCGCGUGUGGUCGGUUUUAUUGAUUUUGUCAGUAGUGCGAGCCGAGCGAGCGACGAUGACGACGGCGCUAGGUACCUCUUGGUUCUUGCCUCAUUAUCCACUUGAAGGAGUGUUACUCAAUAAAAACACAUUAAAAUUGCUUUCUCCCACCAAUAUGGGAGAACUAUAUUUUCCUUAAAUGAGUACACUUUCUCUCCAAGACUUUCUCUUCAUUUUCUAUUCACACCAAUUGAACCCAACAAUCCCCCACAUAAAUGGGAAAUUACUAUUCUUUAUAAAACUUUACCGACAAAUGUGUGAUUAGCAAGCAAAGACUGAUUGCUUUUGGAUAAGUAGGUUUUCCUUUGAACUUUUCGUAGUGAACAUACAUCAGAUGCACUCGGUCAAUCGAUUGAUUUGAUAUCUUUGAACUGUCGAGCUUUAAUGUAUAUCUAGACAACACAUGUCACACAACCAGCCUUUUACCGUUUAUGGUUCUCACGAUUUUGUUUGUUUAAGCCAUACGUCCUGGUUUUAUGAGAGCUUAGAGUAGGACUUUACUAACAUUUUCUUUAAAGUGGCUUCGACUUCACCCUCACAUAGGUGAUUUCUAAACGUUCAAUCCUAGAGAUUAAACUAUUUGGUCAAAUCUACCAAAUUUAGAUAAUCAUUAAAAGGCUUCACACCAUAAGCCUUAUCUUUGUUUACUAAACAUUGUCAACAUCAUGAGAAUGGGUUGGGUAUAUUGACAAUGUUGAACCUGUCAAUCACAAAUUUGUUUGAUCUCCUUGAACCUAGCUCUUGGAAACUCCAGUCUGCUAGGUGGAGUUACCAUCAUGCUGACUUGUCCUAGGCCAUAAUAAACCUAUUCCCUUUGAUGUUCUCUCAAAUCCUUCUCUAAAUAGUCCUUUUGUAAGUGUAUCAGGCACAUUAUCCUUUGGCUUUACAUAGUCAACAGUGAUAAUUCUACUAGAGAGAAGUUCUAUAACAGUAUUAUGUCUUCAUCUUAUAUGAUGAGAUUUACCGUUAUACAUCAUGCUCCUUGCCCUACCUAUCGUCACUUGCCUAUCACAGUGUAUACAUACUGGUGCCACUAGCUUGGGUAAAUAUAGAAUAUUUUCCAAAAAAUUAUAGAUCCAUUCAGUUUCUUUACCAGCUUUACCUAAUGCGAUAAAUUCAUAUUCCAUUGUAGAGCGAGCAAUACAUGUUUGUUUGGAUGAUUUCUAAGAGAUUGCUCCUCCACCUAAAGUAAUACACAUCCACUCGUGGAUUUUACUUCAUUCAAUCUGGUGAUACAAUUUGCAUCACUAUAUCCUUCAAUUACCGCUGGAUAUUUAUUAUAAUGUAAAACAUAGUCUUGAGUAUAUUUAAGAUACCCCAAAACUCUUUUCAUUGUCAUCCAAUGAGUUUUAUUGGGAUUACUCGUGUAUGGACUUAAUUACUAAUAGCACAUGCUAUGUCUGGCCGUGUACAAUUUGUAAUAUACAUUAAACAUCCCAACACUCUUGCGUAAUUCAACUAUGAGUCACUUUCACUUUUAUUCUUUUGAAGUGCAAAGCUCAUAUCCAAUGAAGUCUUGGCAAUACCAAAUUCCAAAUACUUAAACUUGCCAAGCACCUUUUCGAUGUAAUGAGACUGUGACAACGCCAAUCUUUGUGGAGUUUUGUGGAUUCUUAUUUCUAAGAUCACAUCCACAACUCCAAGAUCUUUCACAUAAAACUUUCUCUCAAGCAUUCAUUUUGUAGCAUUUAUAUAAAAGAUAUCUCUACUGAUUAUCAACGUAUCAUCCACAUACAAUAUCUCUAGUGACCUUGUGAUUUUGAGUGUCUUUAAUGUAAGCACAUUUAUCAUUUUCAUUUAUCUUGAACCCGUUUACCGACAUAGUUUGGUCAAGCUUUGCAUGCUACUGUUUAGGUACUUAUUUUAUUUCAUAAAGUGACUUAACUAGUUUGCACACCUUAUUUUCUUUACUAGGAACCACAAAACCCUCAGAUUUUUCUAUAUAAAUUUCUUCCUCCAAUUCUCCAUUAGGAUUGCUGUUUUCACAUCCGUUUGAUAAAUUUCAAGAUCAUAUAUCGCCGUCAAGGCAAUUAACAUUUGAAUUGACAAUAUCCUUAUUAUAGGCAAAUAUGUAUCAAAGUAAUCAAGGCCUUCCUUCUAUUUAAAGUCUUUCACUAUAAGUCUUGCCUUGUAUUUUUUAAUAGUACCAUCUGCUUUUAUUUUCCUUUUGAAGAUAUAUUUAGAACCUAAAGGUUUAUUACCUGGAGGAAGAUUUACCAACUCCUAAGUAUGGUUGCUCAUUCAAUCUCACUAUUGACUGCCCCUUUCCAAAGGGAUAAGUCGGAAGAUGACAUCGCUUCUUUAAAUGUUUGAGGCUCAUUUUCUAAGAGAAAUAUUACAAAAUUCGAUCCAAACGAAGUUGAUGGUCUUUUACAUGUAGUACAUCUUGGAUUCUCAUCAUUAUAUACAUUCUCUCUUAGUUCAUCUCGAGGUAGUUCAGACCCUCUACUAGACUGUUUAUGUCUAGUUUUAAAUAGCUAAAUGUAUUCAAAGAACUUAGCAUUAUCUGAUUCAGUUAUCGUAUUUUCAUGGAUAUUCGAAUGCUCAGAUUUAUGAACCAAAUACCGACAUGCUUUACUACUUUUAUCAGAUCCUGUGAACAUGUAGUCCACUGUCUUAGGUCCUAUCUUUACCCGUUUAGGCAUAGGAACUUGGACUUUCGCUAGACACCCCCAUAUUUUGAAAUAUUUCAAGUUGGGUUUCCUUUCUUUCCAUUUUUCAUAUGAAAUUGAUAGUGUCUUACAAUGGGGCACUCAGAUACAAAACGAUCUACGUAACACAUAAAAAUGGUACAAAACAGUCUACUCAACAAGGUACAAACCGAGGAGCAAAUGAGAUCUUGUCUCUACCAACAAACACUACACAAGAAUGACGAGUUAACAAGGUGUUUCAACACCAAAAAAACCACAAUACAUGAUGAACAAGAUGAAUAAGAGUUACAAAAAUACAACAACCAACGGUUUUCACUAAACAAGAUAAACUAGUACAUGAAAUGUAAAGAUAGGUAGUGUGACACAGAUUAUUACAAUGACUAAGAACUAAGGUGUGUAACAAAAACCAAAACCCUUAAUAAAUGUUAUAAAAACACCUACACUCUUACAGAGACCUCAAGGGAACCGGAAUCCCUAAGCAACCACCCUUUUCUAAGCUAGUUACCAACAUAAGUGAUGUCCACACUUGUCACAAGUGAAAUCCACACUUGCAAGACUCUCUCAAGAGCACUCAAAAUAUCCAUCAAAGUUAUGGACAAAUGAACUAAAACGUUUUACUUAUAGUCUAGGUUAAACUUAUUACACAAAAUGACAAAAAGGCCCUUAAUGAGCCCAUCAUAAGGGGUAACCUUGUAGUGUGCCAAUGGGAUGGAUUUGGAGUGUUAGAAGGCCUCCUUCACACUUCAAAACUUAUUCUCUUAGUUGGUAAUCCCCCCAAGAUCGAGUAUUUAUGUAUUGACUUUCAAUCAUGUCCUUGAAAGCUAAGGUGCCUCUUUGACCCGUAUCAUCCUCCCUUCCUGAAAAGGAUUCGACCUCGAAUCUGAACCUUGCAAAAUAAUAGGGGAAACAAGAAAACACUCUUUACUCAUGGCAUGUGGGUUAAGGUUAUCAUAAUCAACUAUAACAUCAAACCAAGGUGGCAUACACUUCACAUGCCAAAAGGUUUUUGGAAGUAGGAUACCCUUCCAAUCAUAAAAACUCAAACUCUCUUCCAAAGAGGUAACAACUUGUCUAUCCGCAUACGUAUGACAAAAAACAAGAGACAAGAUUUGUUUGUCUAGUAUAAUCCAUAGACUUUUCAUGGAACUAAAAAUAGGCUUAUAAACCAAAAUAGAAAGAUCAUACAUUUUAUGCACAUUCAAUUCAUCAUCAUAAGCAAAAAGAUAGUAAAGAAAAGAGUUAAGGGCACCAUUCUCAUCAAAAUUACCCUCAAACAUGAGUUCAUAAUAAGACGAUACAAGACAUUUGAAGCAUAUUACAUCUUUUCUCUUCAAAAAACUUCCCUCAAGAAGUGUAUUCACCAAAGAAAUCAUGCUAUUAGAGGAAUUAGAGAAUCUAUGAGAAACCAAAUUACUCCAAGCCAAAGUGUAUACCCAAGAAGUUGGGUGACUUCUUUUUAUGGAACUUAGCAUGCUCCUAAGAGUCUGUAAUACACCGAUCAUUCCUUAAGUCUAAAUCUAUCUUUUUGAAUGGAUAUGUAUGACUUACAAAGUGAGUGAUCUUUAAACCAUGUUGUAUUUCUCUAAUUUCCACCUUUUGUCAUGUAGAUCAUUGAAUAAGAUUUCCAUCUAUACCAAUUUCAUCAAAAUUCAACAUCGGAUGAGUGAGUUCUGGCCGUUUUAUUGAAUGCUAUCGAAUAGCCUAGGUUUGACGGUCAACCUGGUGGACUGUCAGGUCCUUGGUGGACCGUAAAGUGUCCCAUCAAGCCAAGGAAGUAGCUCCCUUUUUGGGAUGCUGUGUGAUGGUCAAAGUGGUGGACCGUCACAAAGUUGACGGACCAUCAAGGUGUCCGUCAGACCGAGACAGAAUGUCUCAUUUUUGGCCCUCAAGUGAAGGACGGCUUGGUGGACCUUCACUUUUCUAAUGGACCAUCAAUUCAAUCGUCACAUCAAGGUAGAACGUUCCAGUUUUGGUGUUCGUUGGAUCGUCGGUCCCUCUGAUGGACUGUCAAGUCGACCGUAACAGGCCCCGAUCAGCAAAUUUCAACUUUUUUUCAAAGGGGCAUCAUGGUCAUUUCCACUCCUUGUGGCCUUAUAUAUAUAUAUAUAUAUGUGUGUGUGUGUGUAGAGAAGAGAAGACCAUUUCUCUCCAAAUUUCUUUCAAGAAUUCUCUAGAAACGUUAGGUUUCUUCCAAACCCAAAAAUCAAAUCAUCUCUAAGAAAUUCAAGAAAUCUCCUCUAAAUUUCUUCAAGUUGUUCAAGAACUAAGCUCCUCAAGUCAAAGGCAGUAAGUUCUUGGUCUAAAAGUGUGAGAAAGAAGUUUCAAGCAAGUUUCUAUAUCUUCAAAAUCAAAAUCUAAGGUAUGUGGGGUUUCAACAAGAACACUCCUUUCGUUCUUAUGCCUAAAGAUUUAUUUUCUAUUAUUGAUUUACAUGAUUUUGCAAGUGGGUUUACACCCAAAUUUAUUUAUGUAUGAUUUAUGAGAUUUGAGUCGAAUAAGCUUGAUAUUUAUGGUUAUUUCACCAUCAUGCUUCUUAAAUUGAGUAUUUACUCCAUCAAUUGUAUAUUGUCAUUAUAUAUAUUGAUGAUUUCUAAGCGAUUUAUGAUAAGUGUCAAGAUUUGUGUUUUUCUAUGAGAGAUUUAACUAUUGAAUACAUAUCGAUAUUUGAGAUUGAAAGUGGAGAAUGAGUCCUAUGAUGUUUCUUUGAAGAUUUUGAUAUUUGAAAUGAUUUGAUAAGUAAAGGUACAUGAUGUUGAGAAAGAUUAUUUUGAUUUUGAGUCGAGUUAGGAAUCCACAGUCGUAUAUGAUUUACCGGUGAGAUAUACUGUUGUUUUGGUCAUCAUGAUAUACCCAUGAGUUGAUAUUUAUUGAGUUGGAUUUCCUAACACGUCCUAAGCUGAGUCUGGGAGGAGUAUUUAGCACCGAGCGGGAGAUUUGGUAUUUCUCCAGAACUACGUGCCAUCGUAGGAUUGAUGUUGAUAAUUGUGGGCCAAAGGCCGAGUACGAGAUUGUGAUGAUGAGAUUGAGGUUGUACUCCCUAGCACGAGUACGACACCCCUGCCAAUAUGGGGUUCUCUUCUUAGGAGGGCAAAACGUUGGACUCUAUGCGGCUCAUAUGGAGUAGUUAUGUCGGUUAUAAGAAACUCCCACGUCCAUAAUGAUCUAAGUACCAUGAGAUACCGAGUCACUCUAAGUCAUGAUUCAAAGAGUUUGAGUUGAGUUAAAUGAUUUAUGAGAUUUAUGAAGCAUAUGUUAUUACUGAUGACUUACUAAAAUGAUGUUUUAGAUAAUUCAAGCGAAGAGAGUUAUUAUUGUCAGCAUGCAUGAUUU
rnacentral:lncRNA from 1 species